rnacentral:tRNA from 1 species
GGGUGCGUAGCUCAGUUGGUAGAGCAAUUGACUCUUAAUCAAUGGGUCAAGGGUUCGAAUCCCUUCGCGCCCACCA